UGUUACUGCGAAGGGGGGACGGAGAAGGCUAUGUUAGCCGGGCGACGGUUGUCCCGGUUUAAGCAUGUAGGCUGGUUAUCCAGGCAAAUCCGGAUAAUCAAGGCUGAGGUGUGAUGACGAGGCACUACGGUGCUGAAGUAACAAAUGCCCUGCUUCCAGGAAAAGCCUCUAAGCAUCAGGUAACAUCAAAUCGUACCCCA
rnacentral:rRNA from 1 species